rnacentral:tRNA from 1 species
UUAACGUAGCAAAACCUGGCUAUUGCAAAAGACCUAAACCCUUUUUAUAGAAGUUCAAAUCUUCUCGUUAACUUUGAACCUCCCU